rnacentral:rRNA from 1 species
UACGUAGGGGGCAAGCGUUAUCCGGAUUUACUGGGUGUAAAGGGAGCGUAGACGGCGAUGCAAGCCAGAUGUGAAAGCCCGGGGCUCAACCCCGGGACUGCAUUUGGAACUGUAUAGCUAGAGUGUCGGAGAGGCAGGCGGAAUUCCUAGUGUAGCGGUGAAAUGCUUAGAUAUCACGAAGAACUCCGAUUGCGAAGGCAGCCUGCUGGACUGUAACUGACGCUGAUGCUCGAAAGUGUGGGUAUCAAACAGG